rnacentral:tRNA from 2 species
AGUCACAUGGUCUAAUGGUUAUGAUAUCUCGUUCACACCAUGAACAACUCCCGAGAUGGUUCUGAGUUCGAUCCUCAGUGUGGCUA